CCAGAGGGNAUUGCGUUACAUACGAGCGAGUGAGCGGCAAAAGCUCAAAUUUGAAAUCUGGCACCUUCGGUGUCCGAGUUGUAAUUUGAAGAAGGUAACUUUGGAGUUGGCUCUUGUCUAUGUUCCUUGGAACAGGACGUCACAGAGGGUGAGAAUCCCGUGCGAUGAGAUGCCCAAUUCUAUGUAAAGUGCUUUCGAAGAGUCGAGUUGUUUGGGAAUGCAGCUCUAAGUGGGUGGUAAAUUCCAUCUAAAGCUAAAUAUUGGCGAGAGACCGAUAGCGAACAAGUACAGUGAUGGAAAGAUGAAAAGAACUUUGAAAAGAGAGUGAAAAAGUACGUGAAAUUGUUGAAAGGGAAGGGCUUGAGAUCAGACUUGGUAUUUUGCGAUCCUUUCCUUCUUGGUUGGGUUCCUCGCAGCUUACUGGGCCAGCAUCGGUUUGGAUGGUAGGAUAAUGACUAAGGAAUGUGGCUCUACUUCGGUGGAGUGUUAUAGCCUUGGUUGAUACUGCCUGUCUAGACCGAGGACUGCGUCUUUUGACUAGGAUGUUGGCAUAAUGAUCUUAAGCCACCCGUCUUGAAACACAGACCAAA
rnacentral:rRNA from 1 species